rnacentral:rRNA from 1 species
CCUACGGGUGGCAGCAGUGAGGAAUAUUGGUCAAUGGGCGGAAGCCUGAACCAGCCAAGUCGCGUGAGGGAAUAAGGCCCUACGGGUCGUAAACCUCUUUUGCCGGGGAGCAAGGGCGGGGAAGUGUCCCGGCCCGGAGAGUACCCGGAGAAAAAGCAUCGGCCAACUCCGUGCCAGCAGCCGCGGUAAGACGGAGGAUGCGAGCGGUAUCCGGAUUUAUGGGGUUUAAAGGGUGCGUAGGCGGGCUUUUAAGUCAGCGGUAAAAAUUCGGGGCUCAACCCCGUCCGGCCGUUGAAACUGGGUGCCUUGAGUGGGCGAGAAGAAGGCGGAAUGCGUGGUGUAGCGGUGAAAUGCAUAGAUAUCACGCAGAACCACGAUUGCGAAGGCAGCCUUCCGGCGCCCUACUGACGCUGAGGCACGAAAGUGCGGGGAUCGAACAGGAUUAGAUACCCUUGUAGUC